UACGGAGGGUGCAAGCGUUAUCCGGAUUCACUGGGUUUAAAGGGUGCGUAGGUGGGCAGGUAAGUCAGUGGUGGAAUCUCUGGGCUUAACCCAGAAACUGCCGUUGAUACUAUCUGUCUUGAAUAUAGUGGAGGUGAGCGGAAUAUGUCAUGUAGCGGUGAAAUGCUUAGAUAUGACAUAGAACACCCAUUGCGAAGGCAGCUCGCUACACUAUUAUUGACACUGAGGCACGAAAGCGUGGGGAGCAAACAGG
rnacentral:rRNA from 1 species